rnacentral:rRNA from 1 species
UACGUAGGGUGCGAGCGUUAAUCGGAAUUACUGGGCGUAAAGCGUGCGCAGGCGGCUUUGCAAGACAGAUGUGAAAUCCCCGGGCUUAACUCGGAACGGUCAGCUGAUACUGCUUUGCUAGAGUGCAGAAGGGGCAAUCGGAAUUCUUGGUGUAGCGGUGAAAUGCGUAGAUAUCAAGAGGAACACCUGAGGUGAAGACGGGUUGCUGGGCUGACACUGACGCUGAGUGCGCGAAAGCUAGGGUAGCAAACGGG